rnacentral:rRNA from 1 species
AUUGAACGCUGGCGGCAGGCCUAACACAUGCAAGUCGAACGGUAACAGGAAGAAGCUUGCUUCUUUGCUGACGAGUGGCGGACGGGUGAGUCAUGUCUGGGAAACUGCCUGAUGGAGGGGGAUAACUACUGGAAACGGUAGCUAAUACCGCAUAACGUCGCAAGACCAAAGAGGGGGACCUUCGGGCCUCUUGCCAUCGGAUGUGCCCAGAUGGGAUUAGCUAGUAGGUGGGGUACCGGCUCACCUAGGCGACGAUCCCUAGCUGGUCUGAGAGGAUGACCAGCCACACUGGAACUGAGACACGGUCCAGACUCCUACGGGAGGCAGCAGUGGGGAAUAUUGCACAAUGGGCGCAAGCCUGAUGGAGCCAUGCCGCGUGGAUGAAGAAGGCCUUCGGGUUGUAAAGUACUUUCAGCGGGGAGGAAGGGAGUAAAGUUAAUACCUUUACUCAUUGACGUUACCCGCAGAAGAAGCACCGGCUAACUCCGUG